AUGCCCGAUGUCGCGAGGAUGACAGCAAUUCCUGUAUAGGGCAGAGUCAUCGGUGGCCGUUGGUUGUAGCGCGGAAAUUGCGUCAAUUAUUCGAGGAAGCCGGCUUGGCCCGCAAAUUGCGCGUUCAUCCCUGCCUCCAGAGGAUUUUCAGUUUAUUGCAGACGUUUCAUUAAGAGAAGAGAGAAGAGGUUAUGUUCUGAACUCUAAAUCGAUUGCUGUAAGAUUUGAAGGAGAAUUUCUAAGUUUAAAUUUUAAAUUAUUAUCCUGAGAAUCAGAUUAAGGAUAUAUAUAAGGAAGACUGAAGAUGUCGAACAUGAACACGAAAGAGAAGUCUGUGGUGUGGUCUAAUGUGAGUGAACAAACCAUUAAACUACACUCAACCAGUACUCGACUGAUUAUAUCCCAUUAGAUACGACAUGUGUGCAUUAAGCGAGUUAUCGCGCUCGCACUAGUCUCUACUACACGAUCGAGACCAUUGGCUGAAGCUAACAAUUUUAAUGGGAGAGAUUUGUAGUUAGAAGAAACUGUAGAUAUAUAAACUUGUAUUAUAUUUGAUUUUAUUUUAGGAUUAAAUUAUUGUUAAUAACAUUUUAUUAAGUAUAAAUUCUAUAGUUUUUUCAACAGAUUUUAAUGUUUUUAAAAAAAAACAUAUAAAUUAAAAACAGUUUUAUUGAAAAAUUAAUUAUUAAUAUUUUUAUAUUUA